rnacentral:rRNA from 1 species
UUGGCCCUACGGGGCGCAGCAGUGAGGAAUAUUGGUCAAUGGCCGGAAGGCUGAACCAGCCACGCCGCGUGAAGGACGAAGGUGCCAAGCAUUGUAAACUUCUUUUGUCAAGGGACAAAAUCAGGCUCGAGAGCCUGACCGAGGGUACUUGAAGAAAAAGCAUCGGCUAACUCCGUGCCAGCAGCCGCGGUAAUACGGAGGAUGCGAGCGUUAUCCGGAUUUAUUGGGUUUAAAGGGUGCGUAGGCGGGCUGUUAAGUCAGCGGUAAAAGCCCGGGGCCCAAC